AUUCAAUAAGUGUUUCUUAAGCACAUACAUGUACUAAACCAAUCCCCAUGUAGGGUGCUGGAAACACUAAGACAAUAAAGAAAACAGCCCUUAAAAGAGCUAAUAGUGUUUGGGUAGCAGCUUCUAGAACCUGCAUUCAGAUAAUGUGUAUGCUGGUUUGACUUUGGGUUGGAAAAAAUGCAAGAUAUUAAUAUAUACAUGUAUAAUUUAAUGUUAAAAAUGGAGAUUUAUUAGACUUGUGAUUUCACAGCUGGUUUGUUAGAUUUAUCUUCAUGGCCAACAAUUUUCUCUCUUACCUCAUAUUCAUUUUUUCUUGUCUCCUAAAGCAUUUGACAACUCUUCUGUUGCAUCAAGUGUAUAAAGGAUGACCAGAAAGACUUGGCAUCAAGUGCAUGAUGAUGGAAGAAAGCUUUGUGGGACUUAUUUUCUCCAUUUCAUUGAAAACAAAAACAUGAAGGCUAACUCUUUUUGCUACACUUGCUUCCAAUAUACUCAGGCACAGAAAGGCUCAGAAUAUGAUAAUUGAUGUGCCUCAAGAAAUCAUGAGGAAAGCAUCCCUCAAGGACACCAUUGAAUUUGCCCAGGAUUGUGUGCCAGGAGGAACAAGAUUCUUACCAGAAAAUCCAUAGCCUCACCUAUCUGGAUGCAGUAACCAAAAUUCACAAGGGCUCCAUGUUCACCAAGAACCUGUGCAAUCUGAUGUCUGCCAUCAGUGGCCCCCUUAUGCAGUAGCUGAAGGAUAGACACCAUUAUAACCAGAAGCUGCUCUGGAAAUUAGAGAAGAAAACUCUUCAGGAGGAACUGGCUAGCCUGGAAUAAGGUAGCUGGCAGCAUGGAAAAGGCAGAAGUAAUGUCCUAAAUAAAUAAGUCUGCAUGAAAGAAAAAAAAUUCCUU
rnacentral:lncRNA from 1 species